rfam:Aedes albopictus isolate Foshan contig32686, whole genome shotgun sequence.
UAGCCUAGUGGUUAAGGCUAUGGAUCGCUAAUCUGGAGACGGCGGGUUCGAUUCCCGU